rnacentral:rRNA from 1 species
CCUACGGGAGGCAGCAGUGGGGAAUAUUGGGCAAUGGGCGCAAGCCUGACCCAGCAACGCCGCGUGAAGGAAGAAGGCUUUCGGGUUGUAAACUUCUUUUAUCAGGGACGAAGCAAGUGACGGUACCUGAUGAAUAAGCCACGGCUAACUACGUGCCAGCAGCCGCGGUAAUACGUAGGUGGCAAGCGUUAUCCGGAUUUACUGGGUGUAAAGGGCGUGUAGGCGGGAGUGCAAGUCAGAUGUGAAAACUCAGGGCUCAACCCUGAGCCUGCAUUUGAAACUGUGUUUCUUGAGUGCUGGAGAGG